UGGGUGUUAAUUAUGAUUUAGAUUGGUAUUAUGGGUCUGAUUUGGUUUUGAUUAAGGGAUACGGAGGUAGAAGAACCAAGCAGAGUUUGUAGGCGCCAAGAGAAAGAAGAAAUAUUUAAGGCCGGCUAUUGUCCGUUCCCUCGCCAGACUUGGGCCACCGGAACCGCAAGCAAGAAAAAACUAUGGACCAUCAACACUGUUACGCCAUAUAUCUGCCACCUAGAUCGUCGGAACCGGAACCGGUCUUUCUGCCAGAACAUCAUACACCCAGAUAGAGUCCAUAAGGCACAGAGAGACAGGCCGUAUACCUGUAAAACCCCAGCUUCUUUUCCAAUGUCCCCCUUCAGUAACCCACAGAUUAUUUUCUACUUUCUGCCAUGCAUAGCAAAAGACCAUAUCUAUAGAGUUUAGAAGCUGUCUGCAAAUUCCUGCAAUAGCAAAGUGAAAAGGUGGGUUCAUGCUCUGCCCCUAUCUCCUCUCUGUGGCAUCUGCUGUUUGUGUUUGUGCUCUUCCCCCAUCUCCUCUCUGCAACAUAUACGGAACUCGA